GACCCUGCAAGUGGGGAAGCCGAGUACAUCGAAAAAGACUGCAAAAAGUAAGGAAGAACUGUAGAAAUGAAGCAGAGAAGAGUGUCAGGAAGAACUGUUCAAGAAAAGAAUAAGAAGUUAAGGUCCUGCUAGAUGUUCCCCGGCCUUUUUAAAAAGGAGAUUUAGAAAAAGACAGCUCAAUCUGCAUAAACAAUCUGGGAAGAUGCACCUGCCGAAAGUGUGUGUAUGUUCUGUGCACACACGUGUGUGUUUUUCCAUUUGUACGUUUAUAAUGGGGAGAUCUAGAGCGUACCAACGCUCUAAUUGCAAUCGUGCGUCGAAGGGACACGGUGGAAGGAAAUGAAGAAAUCCUGUGCAGACUCUAUGAAUCUCUGCUGCUGAUUCCCAGUAGCCCCAGGACAUGCUCCUUUCUGCCCCCAAAGAAACACCAUCUCCCUCGCCUGCUGCAUCCCCCUGUUCCGCGUGAAGCCACUGCCUACCUCAGAGCAACAGCUUCACCCGAGCAAAGAGAUUCAUCAGCUCUGGCAGGAGGUCAUCUCCGCGAUCAGAAACGGGCUUUCCAGCAUCAGUGGGUGAUGUUCUGAGACUUUUCUUAUGUCAAUAGCAGAGCUGAGAGGAUGCCUCACUUUUCCAUCUGAAUUUGUAGCAUUACUGGAGCACAGCCGGGCAGCAGCCAUCUCAGGACAAAAGUUUGAUUUCCGUCAUGCCCCAUGGAGGCAUCAUAGAGAAUGGUGAGGUUUGAAGAAAGAUAAUGAAAUAGCUCAGGACUGUUUAUGUAAACCUUCCCGGAAAUCUGUGAGGUAGGAAGAGAGAAAGCACCAAGGUGCCUCUUACUAGUAUAACAAAUCGUGUUGCCAUUCUCAGUUGCCUGGGACUGGUGCUUUCAGCUCUUCUGUGCUGGCUGUAAAAUGAACUGACUUCUGCAGUCAGCAUUUACAGACAUGUUUCUAUAUACUGGUACUGAAAAAAUCUUUUGCAGAAUGACUUGCCUAGCCAAUAAAUCUUGCUUUCUAUUUCUUCUUCUUCUUCUUCUUUUUUUUUUUUUUAAUGUAACAUUAUAUUAGACCAUCAAGUGUUAAAAUCAUCCUUUUUCACAAAACUUAUAAAUGGCUUCCUUACUGUAACAUCCCUGAAAGCACCCCGCUAUCUCAUUUUCUAAAUCCUUCUGUAAUAUUUUGUCUGGUUUUAUAGAUCAUUAUUUUGAGCCUGAAUAUUUAUUUGUGGAAAGAGAAUAAAUUUUGAUAGGAAUGCUGUAGGAUCAGUUUUUUGAUCUUUGUAGCACAGUUUUAAGCAGGUAAGAUCUACUUAAUGUUAUAGAGGUCAAAAUUGAAAUUGCUGAUUCUGGGAAUAGAGAAGAAACUCCCCCUUUCAGUGCUUUAAUUUCUCUAAGAAACCAACCAUAAAUAAAUAAAAAGAAUGUGGAAAUAAAA